rnacentral:rRNA from 1 species
GAUCCUGGCUCAGGAUGAACGCUAGCUACAGGCUUAACACAUGCAAUUCGAGGGGCAGCAUGGUCUUAGCUUGCUAAGGCUGAUGGCGACCGGCGCACGGGUGAGUAACACGUAUCCAACCUGCCGUCUACUCUUGGCUAGCCUUCUGAAAGGAAGAUUAAUCCAGGAUGGGAUCAUGAGUUCACAUGUCCGCAUGAUUAAAGGUAUUUUCCGGUAGACGAUGGGGA